UACAGGGGGUGCUAGCGUUGUUCGGAAUUACUGGGCGUAAAGGGCGCGUAGGCGGUCUCGCAAGUCAGGGGUGAAAUCCCGGAGCUUAACUCCGGAAUUGCUUUUGAUACUGUGGGGGCUAGAGUGAGUUAGAGGAUGGCGGAAUUCCUAGUGUAGUGGUGAAAUACGUAGAUAUUAGGAAGAACACCGGUGGCGAAGGCGGCCAUCUGGGGACUUAAACUGACGCUGAGGGCGCGAAAAGCGUGGGGGGAUCAAAACAGGA
rnacentral:rRNA from 1 species